ACGUUUGGCCCCAGGAGAGGAGGCCAGGACCCAGGGUGCCAGAAUCUUACCGUGCAGAGGCGACAGGCCAAUGCAGUUCGUUCCUUUUCCUCCCUCCCUCUCUUCUCCACGCCAUCUCCCUCCCUCACCCUCUCCCUCCUCCCUCCCUCACCACCCCCCGGCCCCCUGGAGAGUUCUGGGCGUCCUUGGAAGGAAAGGAGAGUGGCUUCCAGGUCGGAGAACUAGCGGCCGUCAUGGCAAACAUCGCUAGGAAGCGGGGAAAGGAGCUAUCAGGCGGUUGAAACUUGGGUUCCAGGCGACCUCUGGUGGCGUUCGCGGAGUCAGCAAAAAUCCCAUGAUGGUACCAGAACCUCCCUACCAAGGAGGAUGUUCUCAUAGAUUCCCAGAGACAAGAUGAUGGUAAUCUUAAAAUACUCGACAGAUGAAAGAGGAAGCAAAACCACUCCUUCUGUCUGAGAGAAUUGUGCAAUGAUGGCCAAAAGCAGUCCUCUGCAAUUUCUUUGGGAGGUGACAAAGGAACAGAAGGCACUGGGGGAACCAAUGGGCAAAUUAGUUUAAUUAGUCAAAUUAACUUAAUUAGCAAAAAUAAUUCUCUUUGGAGCAGGCUUUGAAUAAAUCUGUGAUAAUUUUGUGAUUCUGUGAA